rnacentral:miRNA from 1 species
CAAAACAACAUCGGUCACCCA